CACUCAUCUCCCGUUUUGUAUAAGCUGGGUUAGUGUUGGAUGUGCUGCUGUCUGUCUCGCUGUGUGUUGGCUGAGCCUUCUCCAGGCUGCAUGGUGUUGAGUGCCAAUCUUGUCCAAGGAUCGCAUUGACGGACAACGCUGCUGUUUUGCUCCUGUUUUUGUUUCAUUCUUUUCUUUUUUGUUUCUCUCUUGGUGUUGUUAAAUGCCAGUGUUGUGACGUGCCCCAUGUGUCCUGCAGAAUAGCUUUCACACCAUCUCAAAGUUUUGUUCUGACGCACAUGAGCUGUAGGUCCCCGAGUUAGGGAGGCUAGCUGUCUCCGCCCCCUGGUGGUGGUGUUUACUCUCUGAGUGCUGUGCCUUGCCACUUGCACCCAAUUUAUCACUGUGUGUGUGUGUGUGUGUGUGUGUGUGUGUGUGUGUGUGUGUGUGAGUAUUUGUGAGAGUAAUGUGCUUUUUAGGGGAUCAAGAUAAGCUCUCAGCUAGCCUACAGAAGUCUCUGUUUUUGUUUGUUUUAAGUUUUGUUCUGUGUGGAGUAAAUUGUGAAAAUUUCUCUGGUGCAUUGGCGAGUAACAUCU